GGGGUGCCUUCGGGAGCUGUGAGACAGGUGCUGCAUGGCUGUCGUCAGCUCGUGUUGUGAAAUGUUGGGUUAAGUCCCGCAACGAGCGCAACCCUUAUCCUUUGUUGCCAGCGGUCCGGCCGGGAACUCAAAGGAGACUGCCAGUGAUAAACUGGAGGAAGGUGGGGAUGACGUCAAGUCAUCAUGGCCCUUACGACCAGGGCUACACACGUGCUACAAUGGCGCAUACAAAGAGAAGCGACCUCGCGAGAGCAAGCGGACCUCAUAAAGUGCGUCGUAGUCCGGACUGGAGUCUGCAACUCGACUCCAUGAAGUCGGAAUCGCUAGUAAUCGUGGAUCAGAAUGCCACGGUGAAUACGUUCCCGGGCCUUGUACACACCGCCCGUCACACCAUGGGAGUGGGUUGCAAAAGAAGUAGGUAGCUUAACCUUCGGGAGGGCGCUUACCACUUUGUGAUUCAUGACUGGGGUGAAGUCGUAACAAGGUAACCGUAGGGGAACCUGCGGUUGGA
rnacentral:rRNA from 1 species